AGAGAGAGUCAUGUGACCCGAAACGAGAUUCAAAAUGGCGGCACCCAAGGAAAACGUGGACGCUAAAAUGUCAGCAGACGAAAAAGAAGUAUAUUGUCAAAUUGAAGCAACUGUACCAACUGGAUUUGAGGUUACAGCGAAGCUUGAAGCUCUUGAUGUAUUUAAGACUGAAGCGAAAGCCGCAAGAGGUCACAUCGUCAUCAAAGUUCCGAUAAAGGAUGUCAAAAAGGUGCUGGAGCUUGGAUGUGUGGACAACUGUUUUGUCGUCAUGACCGAGAUCAAGAAAUUUCAAUUUGCUGAUGAUGAAAUGAAAUGUAUGUCACAACUGCGAAACCUUGUUCCAGAUUUAGAUUGGGACCUGGGACUACAGGCGUGGAAUAAGGUGUAUGACUUCCCCCACUCCAUCGCUUCCCGCCCUUCCGUCAUACCAGCUGACCUUGGAGAACCAAUCAGCACUAAGGAUAUCUUCAGACCAAAGAAACAACCAAAAGUACGCAAUGCCAAAGACUCUAAUAAAAGGCUCUGGACCACAAGGUACAAGGAUAGAAAGAAAAACAAACGGGACAAUAUCUCAACAGAAGAAACGGAAAAUGUGAAGAAAGGGGACUGCCAAGUUGAUUCACCAUCACAAGAGAGUCGAGGCGACAACCAAUCAGAUGCAGGAACUUUGUCAUGUGAUAUAGAUGCCGGUGUCACAGAUAAAGCCUCCUCAGAAGGAAAGGCUUCUGGUGACAUCGACAAAAUUUCAGCAGAUUCAUCAGCUACAGAAAAAAAGAUAGGGGAUGAAUCUCAGGCGGAAGAAGGACCGUCCAAAAAGCAGAAAGUUAAAAUCACUUCCUGGGACCCAAACAUGCCAGCAUUCCGCGUGACCUGUAAGCGAGCAGGAACAAAUCACAAGUUUGACUCCAUGUGUGCCGCUUCUAAUUUUGGGGCGGCCAUCAACAACUACUUCAACUGGAAUGUAGACAUGGUAAAAUUUGACAUUGAGGUGGUGUUGAAUAUCAGUGAGAAUGACAUUCGUGUGUGUUUGGCCCUCACCAAAGGUAGCUUACACAAGAGGAACAUCGUCUCCUUUGGUCCCACCACCCUUAGGGCCACUAUUGCAUACAGCAUGCUAAGAUUAUGUGAAAUCAAGCCUGGAGAUGUUGUCUGUGAUCCAAUGUGUGGUACUGGAAGUAUCCCUAUAGAGAUGGCACAACAUUGGAAAACAAACUUUGUCAUUGGUGGAGAUGUCUCUCAGAGAUUUCUGUCGCGAGCCGUUGAAAAUGUUGAAAAUGUCAACAAAAAGAGAGCGGAAAAGGAAAAAGGCGAUGUUGCAGCAGACCUCAUGCACUGGGAUGCAAAGAGGCUGCCUCUGAGGAAUAGCUGUGUAGAUGUGUUUAUCACCGACCUGCCAUUCGGAGUGAGGAUGGGAUCUUUUGCCAAGAACUGGAAGCUGUAUGCUGACUCUAUGGAGGAAAUGGCUCGAGUUUGUACCCCUAAAACAGGGCGAGUUGUACUCCUAACACAGGACCAGAAGUGUAUACAUAAGACCAUGGCCAUGUUUAGUAAGUUCUGGACAAGAAAGUCCACCAUAGGCAUCAACCAGGGGGGCAUAGCGGCAGCAGUGUACGUCCUGGUCCGCACUGCCGAGGCAUACCACAGAGGUAUACAGAACACAGAAGUAGAUCCGUCCACCAGCAUGAGCAAAGGGGAGGAAACACAAGUGAAAACUCAGCAGGACAAAUGAGGCAUUGUCAACAUUCUUAGAGGGAAUAAACUGAUUUCAUCAGACGUGAAUAGUAAUUCCUUCAUCACACAUUGAGGUUUCCUUUCGCAUGAAGCAUUAUAAGAGAAAGUGGUACAAGGUUAAAUAACCAGUUUGAUGCCAUAGGUCAUCCUAGUCUAAUGUCAACAUUUAGGUAUAUAUAAUUUUAGAUUAUGAUUAUAAGCUAACAAAACUUUAAAAGUUUGAGGGUUACUUCAACUGUUAUGUAGUGUGGUGAGAGUGUGAAUAGAAAUUGUGUCAGUUUUGCUUUGUACAAUAAAAGAUGUCUUGUUUUG
rnacentral:misc_RNA from 1 species